rnacentral:rRNA from 1 species
ACUCUAAGCGGUGGAUCACUCGGCUCAUGGGUCGAUGAAGAACGCAGCAAACUGUGCGUCAUCGUGUGAACUGCAGGACACAUGAACAUCGACAUUUUGAACGCAUAUCGCAGUCCAUGCUGUUAUGUACUUUAAUUAAUUUUAUAGUGCUGCUUGGACUACAUAUGGUUGAGGGUUGUAAGACUUUGCUAAUUAAGUUGUUUAAAAUUUUUCGAAGUUUUAAGCAUAUGGUAUAUUAUUGGAUAGAUUAUGUGUGUCCCUGAUAUGCAUAAUAUAUUCAUAAUAUUAAUAUAUAUAUGGAUGUACUACUCAUUGUAUAUUUUGUAUGAGAAAACUGAAGAAUUAUAUUUUCUUUUUUCAAAUCAAAUAAUACUGAGGAAUGUCUAGCAUAAAAGAAAAAUACAUUUUUCCUUCAUCUAGAAUUGUCUCUUAUUAAUGAUGUGUGAUAAAAGAAUUCUUGUAAAAUUUAUGGAACUUCAGAACAAAAGUAUUACCCAUUAUAUUGAACAAUAAAUAAUGUUCAAUUAACAUUGUUUUAUACAACCUCAACUCAUAUGGGACUACCCCCUGAAUUUAAGCAUAUUAAUUAGGGGAGGAAAAGAAACUAACAAGGAUUUUCUUAGUAGCGGCGAGCGAAAAGAAAUCAGUUCAGCACUAAGUCACUUUGUCUAUAUGGCAAAUGUGAGAUGCAGUGUACGGAACAUCAAUAUUCUAGUAUGAGAAGUUAACGAUUUAAGUCCUUCUUAAAUGAGGCCAUUUACCCAUAGAGGGUGCCAGGCCCGUAUAACGUUAAUGAUUACUAGAUGGUGUUUCCAAAGAGUCGUGUUGCUUGAUAGUGCAGCACUAAGUGGGUGGUAAACUCCAUCUAAAACUAAAUAUAACCAUGAGACCGAUAGUAAACAAGUACCGUGAGGGAAAGUUGAAAAGAACUCUGAAUAGAGAGUUAAAUAGUACGUGAAACUGCUUAGAGGUUAAGCCCGAUGAACCUGAAUAUCCGUUAUGGAAAAUUCAUCAUUAGAAUUGUAAUAUUUUAAACAAUAUUAUAAUAAUAGUGUGCAUUUUUUCCAUAUAAGGACAUUGUAAUCUAUUAGCAUAAAUAUUUAUCAUAAAAUUAUGUCUGAUUGCUUAUUUGAAUUAUAUGCUUGCAUUUUAACAUAAAAUAAAAGAUAUAAAUUUGAUAAAGUGCUGAUAGAUUUAUAUGAUUACAGUGCGUUAAUUUUUCGGAAUUAUAUAAUGGCAUAAUUAUCAUUGAUAUUUGUGUUUAUUAUAUGCAUUUGUAUGAUUAACAAUGCGAAAGAUUCAGGAUACCUUCGGGACCCGUCUUGAAACACGGACCAAGGAGUCUAACAUAUGUGCAAGUUAUUGGGAUAUAAACCUAAUAGCGUAAUUAACUUGACUAUUAAUGGGAUUAGUUUUUUAACUAUUUAUAGUUAAUUAACGCAAUCCCGGGGCGCUCUAUAUAGUUAUGUAUAAUAAUAUUUAUAUUAUUUAUGCCUCUAACUGGAACGUACCUUGAGCAUAUAUGCUGUGACCCGAAAGAUGGUGAACUAUACUUGAUCAGGUUGAAGUCAGGGGAAACCCUGAUGGAAGACCGAAACAGUUCUGACGUGCAAAUCGAUUGUCAGAAUUGAGUAUAGGGGCGAAAGACCAAUCGAACCAUCUAGUAGCUGGUUCCUUCCGAAGUUUCCCUCAGGAUAGCUGGUGCAUUUAACUGUUGUAUAAAAUAAUCUUAUCUGGUAAAGCGAAUGAUUAGAGGCCUUAGGGUCGAAACGAUCUUAACCUAUUCUCAAACUUUAAAUGGGUAAGAACCUUAACUUUCUUGAUAUGAAGUUUAAGGUUAUGAUAUAAUGUGCCCAGUGGGCCACUUUUGGUAAGCAGAACUGGCGCUGUGGGAUGAACCAAACGUAAUGUUACGGUGCCCAAAUUAACAACUCAUACAGAAACCAUGAAAGGCGUUGGUUGCUUAAAACAGCAGGACGGUGAUCAUGGAAGUCGAAAUCCGCUAAGGAGUGUGUAACAACUCACCUGCCGAAGCAACUAGCCCUUAAAAUGGAUGGCGCUUAAGUUGUAUACCUAUACAUUACCGCUAAAGUAGAUGGUUUAUAUUACUUGUAAUAUAAAUUUUGAAACUUUAGUGAGUAGGAAGGUACAAUGGUGUGCAUAGAAGUGUUUGGCGUAAGCCUGCAUGGAGCCGCUAUUGGUACAGAUCUUGGUGGUAGUAGCAAAUAAUCGAAUGAGACCUUGGAGGACUGAAGUGGAGAAGGGUUUCGUGUGAACAGUGGUUGAUCACGAGUUAGUCGGUCCUAAGUUCAAGGCGAAAGCCGAAAAUUUUCAAGUAAAGAAAAAUCUAAAUAUAUUUGUCAUCUAACCGAUUUUUAUACACUUGAAUAAUUUUGAACGAAAGGGAAUACGGUUCCAAUUCCGUAACCUGUUGAGUAUCCGUUUGUUAUUAAAUAUGGGCCUCGUGCUCAUCCUGGCAACAGGAACGACCAUAAAGAAGCCGUCGAGAGGUAUCGGAAGAGUUUUCUUUUCUGUUUUAUAGCCGUACUACCAUGGAAGUCUUUCGCAGAGAGAUAUGGUAGAUGGGCUAGAAGAGCAUGACAUAUACUGUUGUGUCGAUAUUUUCUCCUCGGACCUUGAAAAUUUAUGGUGGGGACACGCAAACUUCUCAACAGGCCGUACCAAUAUCCGCAGCUGGUCUCCAAGGUGAAGAGUCUCUAGUCGAUAGAAUAAUGUAGGUAAGGGAAGUCGGCAAAUUAGAUCCGUAACUUCGGGAUAAGGAUUGGCUCUGAAGAUUGAGAUAGUCGGGCUUGAUUGGGAAACAAUAACAUGGUUUAUGUGCUCGUUCUGGGUAAAUAAAGUUUCUAUCAUUUAUGGUAGUUUCUUGUUCCCCGGAUAGUUUAGUUACGUAGCCAAUUGUGGAACUUUCUUGCUAAAAUUUUUAAGAAUACUAGUUGGGCAACCAAUUAGUUCUUUUAAAUUAUAACGAUUAUCAAUUAACAAUCAAUUCAGAACUGGCACGGACUUGGGGAAUCCGACUGUCUAAUUAAAACAAAGCAUUGUGAUGGCCCUAGCGGGUGUUGACACAAUGUGAUUUCUGCCCAGUGCUCUGAAUGUCAAAGUGAAGAAAUUCAAGUAAGCGCGGGUCAACGGCGGGAGUAACUAUGACUCUCUUAAGGUAGCCAAAUGCCUCGUCAUCUAAUUAGUGACGCGCAUGAAUGGAUUAACGAGAUUCCUACUGUCCCUAUCUACUGGGGUUUAAUGGACCGAUGUAGAAGGGCAUGCUGCGUAUUUCGUAAAUCAUUAGUCAAGUCGACUCGAAGGCACAUUGUGCCCCACAUAUAAUUAUUAGUGGCCUCCUCGCGGUGACCCUGGGUGAUUGUCCGAGGUAUAUUCGGACAACCAGCUAAUUCGAGCGGCGAAAACAAUAAGACGACCCAUUCUUAGGCCGGUGGAGGCCAAACUGGGUAGUAUACAUCUACGGCAGUCGACCAAAACUGUAAGUAAAUUUGGUACCACGGGUAGCCAGGAGCCCACGGAACUUGUUCCGUCCUGACUUUUUGGUUGCGGCCCUUCGGGGAGUAUCGUGGUGGCUGUGGUUUAUACCCAAAGCGGGUAGAGCUUGCUCGACGUGGAGUUGCGUUUCAACCAAUACAUAGCUUUUUUAUGAGGUUUUAGACCGGCCUCACCUCCCACCAAUGAGGGAAUGUAUUGCCUCCGCCCGGCAUUCAUUCAAUUGGUACCGAAGGGAUACUGUUCGAGCAGGGACAGUGUCCUGGAGGGGCGAUAGUCCGACGCAUUGUUUCGGCUCGUUGUAUUUUCGAAUACCGUGAGAUUAAGCCAACAUGGCAGGUGCUCACGUUAAGCCCACUGACUUUUCUGUCCCUAUCUACUCAGUUUGUUCCAGACGUUCGUCGCGAGCAGACGUGUCGCGGAGUUAUUUUUGU